GUCCUACGGGGGGCAGCAGUGGGGAAUAUUGCACAAUGGGGGAAACCCUGAUGCAGCGACGCCGCGUGAGUGAAGAAGUAUUUCGGUAUGUAAAGCUCUAUCAGCAGGAACGAGACAAGACGGUACCUGACUAAGAAGCCCCGGCUAACUACGUGCCAGCAGCCGCGGUAAUACGUAGGGGGCAAGCGUUAUCCGGAAUCACUGGGGGUAAAGGGAGCGUAGACGGCUGCGCAAGCAUGAAGUGAACGGCGGGGGCCCAACCCCUG
rnacentral:rRNA from 1 species